ensembl:snRNA U6 U6 spliceosomal RNA
GUGCUUGCUUUGGCAGCAUAUAUACUAAAAUUGGAAUGAUACAGAUAUUAGCAUGGUCCCUGCUCAAGGAUGGCACGCACGUUUGCAAGCAUUCCAUAUUUAA